rnacentral:rRNA from 1 species
AGAGUUUGAUCCUGGCUCACAGUGAACGCUGGCGGCGUGCUUAACACAUGCAAGUCGAACGAGAACGGGAUUAGCUUGCUAAUCUGUCAGCUAAGUGGCGCACGGGUGAGUAAUAUAUAGGUAACAUGCCCCAAAGAAGAGGAUAACGUUUGGAAACGAACGCUAAUACUCUAUAUGCCUUUAAGUCAUAAGACUGCAAGGGAAAUAUUUAUAGCUUUGGGAUUGGCCUGUACGGUAUCAGCUUGUUGGUGAGGUAAUGGCUCACCAAGGCAAUGACGCCUAACUGGUUUGAGAGGAUGAUCAGUCACACUGGAACUGAGACACGGUCCAGACUCCUACGGGAGGCAGCAGUGGGGAAUAUUGCACAAUGGACGAAAGUCUGAUGCAGCAACGCCGCGUGGAGGAUGACACAUUUCGGUGCGUAAACUCCUUUUAUAUAGGAAGAUAAUGACGGUACUAUAUGAAUAAGCACCGGCUAACUCCGUGCCAGCAGCCGCGGUAAUACGGAGGGUGCAAGCGUUACUCGGAAUCACUGGGCGUAAAGAGCGUGUAGGCGGAUAAUUAAGUCAGAUGUGAAAGCCAAUAGCUCAACUAUUGAACUGCAUUUGAAACUGAAUAUCUAGAAUAUGGGAGAGGUAGAUGGAAUUUCUGGUGUAGGGGUAAAAUCCGUAGAGAUCAGAAGGAAUACCGAUUGCGAAGGCGAUCUACUGGAACAUUAUUGACGCUGAGACGCGAAAGCGUGGGGAGCAAACAGGAUUAGAUACCCUGGUAGUCCACGCCCUAAACGAUGCACACUAGUUGUUGCCAUGCUAGACAUGGCAGUAAUGCAGUUAACACAUUAAGUGUGCCGCCUGGGGAGUACGGUCGCAAGAUUAAAACUCAAAGGAAUAGACGGGGACCCGCACAAGCGGUGGAGCAUGUGGUUUAAUUCGACGAUACGCGAAGAACCUUACCUGGGUUUGACAUCCCGCGAACUACUCCUAAUCGAGAAGGUGCCCUUCGGGGAACGCGGUGACAGGUGCUGCAUGGCUGUCGUCAGCUCGUGUCGUGGGAUGUUCGGUUAAGUCCGGUACGAGCGCAACCCUUGUCCUUAGUUGCCAUCAGUUCGGCUGGGCACUCAAAGGAGACUGCCGGGGUCAAGUCGGAGGAAGGUGGGGAUGACGUCAAGUCCUCAUGGCCCUUAUGUGUGGGGCUACACACGUGCUACAAUGGUCGGUACAAAGGGCAGCGAUACCGCGAGGUGGAGCCAAUCCCAAAAAGCCGGCCUCAGUUCGGAUUGCAGUCUGCAACUCGACUGCAUGAAGGCGGAAUCGCUAGUAAUCGUGGAUCAGCAUGCCACGGUGAAUACGUUCCCGGGCCUUGUACACACCGCCCGUCACACCAUGGGAGUCGUUUGCUCCAGAAGUCGGUCACCCAACCGCUUGCAGAGGGAGCCGCCGAAGGAGUGAACGGUGACUGGGGUGAAGUCGUAACAAGGUAGCCGUA